rnacentral:lncRNA from 1 species
CUGGGAGUAAGUAAAUACUGAAGUUGGUUCCAAGUGCCAGGGAAACACUUUGUCCACCUCGCUUCCGUCUGCAGACGCUCGGAGGGAAACGGGGCUCCGGCGCUGUGGGUCCGCAAUCCUCUGGAACGUUCUGAAGAGGACGGAGGCUAUUUAAAGGCGCUUUUGUUUUCGGAUCAGCUAAGGCUCGCGGCUGCUGCAACAGCACAUAAGAAGGGGUUUUCGAACGGGAUCUGCCCCGAUGUUCAGGAGGACGAGGCCGGGUCACAGGGUCACGUGGGCCUGAAUUCAGCAGGGGU